GAGGGGAGGGGCUUGAAGGAGCCCAGAGCGUGAUAUGCGUGGCGACGGGCAUGAUGGAGGAAAGGGUGGAUACAUCGGUGCUUUCCUAAGAGCUGUAAGGAGCAGUGACUGCGACUCCUUUCAGCCCUCAGGCCAUGGAGCAGCGGGCCUGCUGCUGCAAUUUGCGUUUGCCCUGAAUCUUUGGGGUGGGGCUUUCAGCCUGGGUGAGGCGUGAAGGGGGCCUUCCUGACGCCACAGGCGUCCAAGUCUUAUGGCAGGCACCACUGUCACGCUCAGACUUCUCAGGCUUCGUCUCAGGUUCGCCUGCUGUCUCUAUGGGGCGGCUGUGGACUCUUCAGCUUCAAGCCGGUUAUGGAGCACCCUCCGUGCAGCCACUCGUAGCUGUGCAGGACUGGUAGCAGGACCGAUCGCCAACUUUUGGAUUUCCCACGGGUGUCUGGAGCACUUCUGAGAUCUGAAACACGGAUUCAGGAUCACUGUACUGCCCGGGCCUCCAGGUCCCAGUUUGCGUAUCCCUGAGGCAGUCCUGCGGCCUCUGGAACAAAGAUCAUUGGGAUUCCACCCUGCCUCGCUCUCUGGCACAGCCUGUCCACCAGGCCUGCGGAUGUCUGAUCCUGGGUCAUCUGCCUUACCCGCUUGUUCCCUGGCUUCGAACGGAAUGGAUGACUUUGCCUCAGGCAUGCUAACCUUCUCCUCCAGAAGCCCACAAUUCGUAUGGGGCGAGAAUUCAUAUGAAGAAACAGAGGAAAGGGAACCUCUGCCACUCCAGUGCAGCCUGACAUUCCUGAGAUGCCUCAAGACACAGCUAAACAAAUGGUGGUUGGAGAAAAAGAUGUAUAUGUGGGAUUGAAAGAAGAUAGGCAAGAACGAGAACGAGAACAGUCUUACAUGCCAAUCACGGGACGUGGACUUCCUCCUGACACAGUGGGACGAAAACAGUAUAGAGUGUGUUAGUUAGUACUCACUCACUUACUUAGUUCAGCCUAAUUCAGGUUCAUACAAAUUCCCCCUUUCCCUGUCUUUAGUGGUCAAAGAGAGUGUUCAUCUAUCUGAAGAAAUAUAAAAUUAUUAAAAUCACUUUUUCAGAUCCAAGGACCUCUUUGAACUGUCUAAAGUCAUCCUGCAUGCAAAUGUGCAUUUGCCUGGGUAGAUUAUCUAAAGCCUUCGUUGGAUUUCUCAAGUGAUCUAAAGCUCUAAAAAGUAUAAGAAUCACUACUCUGUUUAUUUUAGGAAAACUUUCAGCCCUUCCCAAAGUUGAUUUUUAUCCAAGUAGAAUUCUUUUAUGUCAAUCUCUUAAAAUUUACUGGUUGCUUGUUAUCCAUGUGGGUACCAUAUCAUGCACCAUUCUAUUAUUUCAAACAAAACAAUUCUUCACAUUUCCCAGCAGCAGGUUAAUCCAUGUUUGUUAACCAACUAAAACUGGACUUCUAAUCUCAAUUACUAUUCUUUAGACCUAUGGGAUUUUCAUACUUUCUAUGUGAG
rnacentral:lncRNA from 1 species